rnacentral:rRNA from 1 species
UGGGGAAUAUUGGACAAUGGGCGCAAGCCUGAUCCAGCCAUGCCGCGUGAGUGAUGAAGGCCCUAGGGUUGUAAAGCUCUUUCACCGGUGAAGAUAAUGACGGUAACCGGAGAAGAAGCCCCGGCUAACUUCUUGCCAGCAGCCGCGGUAAUACGAAGGGGGCUAGCGUUGUUCGGAUUUACUGGGCGUAAAGCGCACGUAGGCGGACUAUUAAGUCAGGGGUGAAAUCCCGGGGCUCAACCCCGGAACUGCCUUUGAUACUGGUAGUCUUGAGUUCGAGAGAGGUGAGUGGAAUUCCGAGUGUAGAGGUGAAAUUCGUAGAUAUUCGGAGGAACACCAGUGGCGAAGGCGGCUCACUGGCUCGAUACUGACGCUGAGGUGCGAAAGCGUGGGGAGCAAACAGG